rnacentral:ncRNA from 1 species
CUUACCGUGAGGUAUAAUCUGAAAGAAGCCGGAGGCAAAAUUCCGAUCCGAAGAACAUGAAUAUCAUCUGGCACUAGCGUUGGUUGAUCUUGUCUCAAAAAAAAAUAAUCAAAAUACUAAUCAGAGCAUGUGUGAUAGAAGCAUCAAAGAACUAUUU